AGCGAAAUGCGAUAAGUAGUGUGAAUGCCAGAAUUCAGUGAAUCAUCGAAUCUUUGAACGCACAUUGCGCCCCUUGGUAUUCCAUGGGGCAUGCCUGUUCGAGCGUCUUUUACACCCUCAAGCUUUGCUUGGUGUUGGGCGUCUGUCCUCCCUUUUUCUCUUCGGUGGACUCGCCUCAAAGGUAUUGGCAGCGGUCCUAUCGGGCCUCCUAAUCGCGCAGCACUGUUCGCGCAUCCUGGAGCCUGUACGGAUUUUUUUCAGCUAUCCAUCAAGCCCAAAUUUCUUCGUUAGACCUCGAAUCAGGUAGGGAUACCCGCUGAACUUAAGCAUAUCAAUAAGCGGAGGAC
rnacentral:rRNA from 1 species